UACGAAGGGGGCUAGCGUUGCUCGGAAUCACUGGGCGUAAAGCGCACGUAGGCGGAUUGUUAAGUCAGGGGUGAAAUCCCGGGGCUCAACCCCGGAACUGCAUUCGAUACUGGCGGGCUAGAGACCGGAAGAGGUGGGUGGAAUACCCAGUGUAGAGGUGAAAUUCGUAGAUAUUGGGUGGAACACCGGUGGCGAAGGCGGCUCACUGGUCCGGUUCUGACGCUGAGGCGCGAAAGCGUGGGGAGCAAACAGG
rnacentral:rRNA from 1 species